GUCUGCGGCCAUGCCACCCUGAAAGUGCCCGAUCUCAUCCGAUCUUGGAAGCUAAGCAGGGUCGGGCCUGGUUAAUAUUUGGAUGAGAGGCCACCUAGGAAGACCAGGUGCUGUAGACG
rnacentral:rRNA from 1 species